GGUAUAUGACGUGUAGGUGAUGUAGUAGGGUAUAUGUGAUAUAUGAAGUAAAGGUGAUGUAGGAGGAUAUAGGUGGAAAAUGAAGUUACAGUGACGUAGGAGGCUAAAGAAAGUAAAGGUGACGUAGGAGGGUAUAUGUGGUAUAGGAAGUAAAGGUGAUGUAGGAGGAUAUAGUUAUUUAAAGUGAUGUAGGAGGAUAUAGGUGGAAAAUGAAGUUACAGUGACGUAGGAGGCUAUAGAAAGUAAAGGUGACGCAGGAGGGUAUAUGUGGUAUAGGAAGUAAAGAUGAUGUAGAAGGAUAUAGUUAUUUAAAGUGAGGUAGGAGGGUAUAGAUGGUUAUAGCAAGUAUAUUUGAUGUAGGAGGGGAUAUGUGGUAUAGGAAGUGAAGGUGACGUAGAAGGGUUAUGAUGGUAUAGAAAGUAAAGGUGAUGUAGGAGGGUAUAGAAAGUAAAGGUGACGUAGGAUCGUAAAGAUGGUAUAGGAAGUAUAGGUUAUGUAGGAGGGUAUAGGUGGUAUAUGAAGUUAAGAUGAAGUAUGAAGGUAAAGAAAGUAAAUAUGACGAAGGAUGGCAUAGUUGGUGUAAGAGGGUAUAGAUGACCUAGGAGGGUACAGGUGGUAUAGGACGUAACAUUGAUGUAGGAGGAUAUAUGUGG